UGUAUUGGUUUUGAACUGUUAUCAUGGCAUUAUUUUAUUCCUCUAUCCCUGAGUUACAUGCUAUUACUCCAACCUCUAAUCGUCUCCAGAUGUUGUAUCCCCAUGCGAUACAGGAACUGACCAUACUUCUACAUCCUCUGCUCAGUAACUUAAAAUUGGGAUCAGCUAGAGAGUUAGAUUUAAGUGGUGAGCUUCCAUGCUUCGGAAGACCCCAGUUCAUAAGGCCUUGUUGAACUACUGUGGACUUGGGUGGCUUGUUUGAUAUUUUAGGUGAUGGGAGAUUGUCCAGUCACUGGUGGAUGGUUCAGACGCAUGGGCUCCUAACCGUACUUAGUAGCCUAGAUUUUCAGCAGCAAAUAAAGUG